UACGUAGGUGGCAAACGUUAUCCGGAUUUACUGGGCGUAAAGAGGACGCGGGCGGCACUCCAAGUCGGAUGUGAAAUAUCCCGACCCAAUUGGGAUAGGUCAUUCGAUACUGGAGAGCUUGAGGGCAGCAGAGGGAGAUGGAAUUCCCGGUGUAGCGGUGAUAUGCGUAGAUAUCGGGAGGAACACCAGUGGCGAAGGCGGUUUCCUAGGCUGUUCCUGACGCUGAGGUCCGAAAGCGUGGGGAGCAAACCGG
rnacentral:rRNA from 1 species